ensembl:lncRNA
ACAAGAGAUGGAUGGGAGUUCGACUCCUGGUUUGGGAAGAUCCCCAGAGGAGGAAAUGGCGAUCCACUCCAGCAUUCUUGCCUGGAAAAUUCCACGGGCAGAGGAGCCUGGUGGGCUACAGUCCAGGGGGGCCUCAAAGAAUCAGACACGACUGAGCAACUCAGCAAAACACAAGAUAAAAUGAAGUCAACAGAGUGGACACAGGCUUCUCUCUGGAGACUGGGGCGGGGGUGCACCUCUCCCCUUCGCAGACACGUCCGAGGACUGCUGCUGCAGAAAGAAGAGGCAGUACCCAGGGACAAACCACGUGCAAGGCCCCCAGCCCUAGGAGGGGCUGAGAGACCCUCAGGGCCUAUGCUUUGGUACAGACGUGUCACUAGCUAUGGCACCGGAAUCUGGCCGGGCUGUUUCCCGGCUGGAAGCUUUCCAUGGCUCCCCACUGCCUGCGGGGACAAAGUCCAGACUCUGUGGCCCGUGUGUAAGGCCCUCUGCCCAGGGUCUCAACUGUCCCCUCCAGCUCCUCCUCUGUGCUUCCCUCUAUUUGACCUCUGCCUCCUUCACCCAGCCAUCUCCCGCUCACAGGCUUUGACCCAGCAGGGGCUGGAUCUCUUGGGCAACUUGUCCCUGCCCCCAACUCCAGUCUAGAUGGGUUAGGGGCUGCCUCUGCGAGCUCACCAGGCGCAUCUCUCCUGGGACCCUUACCUACAUCGCCUGGUUACUGCCUGGUCUCUUGAUCAUCACCCAGCCAGGGAUAGCAACUGUGGGCUUGGCGUAUCUGAAAGAACGUUCGGUAAAGGAAGAAA